GCCCCUCAAGUGGAGAUUUUAAAGCAGUAACGUCCAAGCACUCAGACAGGUGCAGAACAGGAGACACAGAUUGGGUAACUUGGCUAAUGUCGCAUAUGUAGGAAGCAGCAUUGAAAUUCAGGUAGUGUGAGACCAGGGUCCUUGCUAUGAAUGACUGAAUGUUGAAUAGUAAAAAAUGAAACAAAGAAACAGUGAAGGCCAGGUUGGAAAUGCUGUGACCAAGACUUGAUGGGACAUCAGAUGGG